rnacentral:rRNA from 1 species
CACGUAGGGUGCGAGCGUUGUCCGGAAUUAUUGGGCGUAAAGAGCUCGUAGGCGGUGUGUCGCGUCGGCCGUGAAAACCUGCAGCUUAACUGUGGGCGUGCGGUCGAUACGGGCAUCACUGGAGUUCGGCAGGGGAGACUGGAAUUCCUGGUGUAGCGGUGAAAUGCGCAGAUAUCAGGGGGAACACCGGUGGCGAAGGCGGGUCUCUGGGCCGAUACUGACGCUGAGGAGCGAAAGCGUGGGGAGCGAACAGG